ACGAACGCUGGCGGCGUGCCUAAUACAUGCAAGUUGAGCGCUGAAGGUUGGUACUUGUACCAACUGGAUGAGCAGCGAACGGGUGAGUAACGCGUGGGGAAUCUGCCUUUGAGCGGGGGACACCAUUUGGAAACGAAUGCUAAUACCGCAUAAAAACUUUAAACACAAGUUUUAAGUUUGAAAGAUGCAAUUGCAUCACUCAAAGAUGAUCCCGCGUUGUAUUAGCUAGUUGGUGAGGUAACGGCUCACCAAGGCGAUGAUACAUAGCCGGCCUGAGAGGAUGAUCGGCCACAUUGAGACUGGGACACGGCCCAAACUCCUACGGCAGGCAGCAGUAGGGAAUCUUCGGCAAUGGACGAAAGUCUGACCGAGCAACGCCGCGUGAGUGAAGAAGGUGUGCGGAUCGUAAAACUCUGUUGGUAGAGAAGAACGUUGGUGAGAGUGGAAAGCUCAUCAAGGGACGGUAACUACCCAGAAAGGGACGGCUAGCUACGUG
rnacentral:rRNA from 1 species